UCUGCAUCUACGGUUGAGAGGUAUCCAGU
rnacentral:piRNA from 1 species